UACGUAGGGGGCAAGCGUGGUCCGGAAUUAUUGGGCGUAAAGAGCGCGUAGGCGGUCCGGUAAGUCGGUUGUGAAAGUCGGGGGCUCAACCCUCGGAUGCCGAUCGAUACUGUCGGGCUAGAGUCCGGAAGAGGCGAGUGGAAUUCCUGGUGUAGCGGUGAAAUGCGCAGAUAUCAGGAGGAACACCAAUGGCGAAGGCAGCUCGCUGGGACGGUACUGACGCUGAGGCGCGAAAGCGUGGGUAGCAAACAGG
rnacentral:rRNA from 1 species